UGUGCUUCCAGCUGUGCCCGUUCGUCUGU
rnacentral:piRNA from 1 species